ACACUGUUCAUGGGUUACCGCGGCUGCUGGCACGGAGUUAGCCGGUGCUUCUUCUGUGAGUGAUGUCCUUCCUGCCGGCUAUUAACCCGCAGGCCUUCUUCCUCACUGAAAGUGCUUUACAACCCGAAGGCCUUCUUCACACACGCGGCAUGGCUGGAUCAGGGUUGCCCCCAUUGUCCAAUAUUCCCCACUGCUGCCUCCCGUAGGAGUCUGGGCCGUGUCUCAGUCCCAGUGUGGCUGAUCAUCCUCUCAGACCAGCUACGGAUCGGUCGCCUUGGUGAGCCGUUACCUCACCAACCAGCUAAUCCGACAUAGGCUCAUCCGAUAGCGCGAGGCCCGAAGGUCCCCCGCUUUCCCCCGUAGGGCGUAUGCGGUAUUAGCCUGGGUUUCCCCAGGUUAUCCCCCACUACCGGGCAGAUUCCUAUGCAUUACUCACCCGUCCGCCGCUCGCCACCAGGGAGCAAGCUCCCCGUGCUGCCGCUCGACUUGCAUGUGUUAGGCCUGCCGCCAGCGUUCAAU
rnacentral:rRNA from 1 species